rnacentral:tRNA from 2 species
AGCCCUAGUAGUAUAACACCAUUACCCCGGUCUUGUAAACCGAAA